UCAAGUGCCACCUGUUUGGCACUUUCAAUUCUUCUUAUUUUUUUUUUAAGUCAAGUAGCCCAUCAUGUAAAAAUUUCAAGCUUAAAAUCGUGGCAUUAGAAGUGAAGUGUGCGGCUUCUCCUGAUUCAGUUUCUCUGAUACCUCAUGUUCUCUUCCAGCAUUCAUGGAACAAUUACAGUUGCCACACAAAAGAAAGGGAGGAAAUGAGGUCUAGACUACCAGGUGUUCCUGGAGAGGAAGAGGCACUGGCUACAAAGGAAAGAAAGGCUUAAAGAGGAAAUAAAAAGACAUUGAAGAUCAGCCUUAUCUCUUUUGCAUUUUACCUUGAACUGUGCUGUGGAACAACAUUUCCUUCUGCCUCAACCCUGACUCUGUCUGAGCGUGGUGACGGAUGCUGAAGAGCAAGGACUAAUGC